UACGUAGGUGGCAAGCGUUGUCCGGAUUUAUUGGGUUUAAAGGGUGCGUAGGCGGCUUUGUAAGUCAGUGGUGAAAUAUGGCAGCUUAACUGUCAGGGUGCCAUUGAUACUGCAGAGCUUGAGUACAGAUGAGGUAGGCGGAAUUGACGGUGUAGCGGUGAAAUGCUUAGAUAUCGUCAAGAACACCUAUAGCGAAGGCAGCUUACUAGGCUGUAACUGACGCUGAGGCACGAAAGUGUGGGGGAUCAAACAGG
rnacentral:rRNA from 1 species